rnacentral:rRNA from 1 species
AGAAUGAACGCUGGCGGCGUGCUUAACACAUGCAAGUCGAACGGAAUCCAAGGAGCUUGCUCUGGAAGAUUUAGUGGCGAACGGGUGAGUAACACGUGGGUGAUCUGCCCUGCACUUUGGGAUAAGCCUGGGAAACUGGGUCUAAUACCGAAUACACCCUGCUGGUCGCAUGGCCUGGUGGGGGAAAGCUUUUGCGGUGUGGGAUGGGCCCGCGGCCUAUCAGCUUGUUGGUGGGGUGAUGGCCUACCAAGGCGACGACGGGUA